rnacentral:rRNA from 1 species
CGCGAGUGAAGCGGGCGAGCUCAACCUGAAAAUCGGAUAUCCAAGCGGGUGUUCGAAUUGUGGGCUAGAGACGCGUGAUCAGUGUGUGACCUAGGUAUAAAUCUUUUGAAACAAGGUAUCACAGAGGGUGAGAAUCCCGUCUUUGACCUAGAGUUUUCGCCACGUACGAUCCGUGUUCACAGAGUCGAGUUGUUUGGGAUUGCAGCUCUAAUUGGGUGGUAAAUUUCAUCUAAAGCUAAAUAUCGACGAGAGACCGAUAGCGAACAAGUACCGUGAGGGAAAGAUGAAAAGAACUUUGAAAAGAGAGUUAAAAAGUACUUGAAAUUGCUAAGAGGGAAGCACUGGAAACCAGUCGUUGAUCUGCGUAUAUUUUUACCAUUCGCUCCCGGAUUGCGCUAUUUGUUCAGAGCCCAAAGCCUGACUGGUGGUGUAUGAUGGUGUGAGUGGGUCCUGUAUUGUAGAUCGGAUCAGAAUCAAUUUGGCUCGUGAGAGAAAGCUAUGGCAACGGUAGUUCUGUUUGGAGCAAUCCUUAUGGAAUGUUUAGUGCUGUAGUGCUAUCAUGGGCUGGAUUGAGGUACAAUCGUUAAUGCGCACCACUAGGUUAUCGAUUCCCUGACCCUGACGCAUCAUGAGACGUGAACAAUAAAAUUGUGCUGUUUCAAAAGUGUGUUACUGGAAAGGAUGAAUUAGAUGCAGCAUUCGAGAUUCUGAUGAAAUGGUUUUCAUUGACCCGUCUUGAAACACGGACCAAGGAGUCUAACAUAUAUGCGAGUAUUUGGGCCUGGAAACCCUUAUGCGCAAUGAAAGUGAAGGUUGUCGUAUGACUUCUGAGGUAGGAAUCUGCGGUCUCGGCUGCAGAGGCACUAUCGACCGAUCAGUCACUUGUGGCAGAUUUGAGUAUGAGCAUAUCUGUUGGGACCCGAAAGAUGGUGAUCUAUGCCUGAACAGGGCGAAGCCAGGGGAAACUCUGGUGGAGGCUCGUAGCGAUACUGACGUGCAAAUCGUUCGUCUGAUUUGGGUAUAGGGGCGAAAGACUAAUCGAACCAUCUAGUAGCUGGUUCCCUCCGAAGUUUCCCUUAGGAUAGCAGGAACUUAUACAGUUUUAUCAGGUAAAGCUAAUGAUUAGAGGUCCUAGAGUUGAAACAACUUUAACCUAUUCUCAAACUUUAAAUAGGUAAGAAGCCUUGGGUUACUUAAAUGAACCCGGGCCUCGAAUGGAAGUUCUUAGUGGGCCAUUUUUGGUAAGCAGAACUGGCGAUGCGGGAUGAACCGGACGCUGACUUAAAGUGCCUAAGUGUUCGCUCAUCAGAUCCCACAAAAGGUGUUGGUUCAUU